UACGUAGGGGGCUAGCGUUGUCCGGAUUUAUUGGGCGUAAAGAGCGUGUAGGCGGCCAGGUAGGUCUGGUGUGAAAACUCGAGGCUUAACCUCGAGAUGUCAUCGGAAACCAUCUGGCUAGAGUCCGGAAGAGGAGAGUGGAAUUCCUGGUGUAGCGGUGAAAUGCGUAGAUAUCAGGAGGAACACCGGUGGCGAAAGCGCUCAUCUGGCCCGAUACUGACGCUGAAGCACGAAAGCUAGGGGAGCAAACGGG
rnacentral:rRNA from 1 species